rnacentral:rRNA from 1 species
GAAGCCAUUGCUAUUGGAGUCCGAUUUAGCCAUGCUAGUCGUACGGGUUUAGACCCGUGGCGAAUAGCUCAGUAACACGUGGCCGAACUACCCUCUGGAUCAGAACAACCUCGGGAAACUGAGGCUAAUUCUGAAUAAGAUUUCCAUCCUUGAAUGGAGGAAAUUGGAAACGUUCCGACGCCAGAGGAUGUGGCUGCGGCCGAUUAGGUAGACGGUGGGGUAACGGCCCACCGUGCCAAUAAUCGGUACGAGUUGUGAGAGCAAGAGCUCGGAGAUGGAUUCUGAGACAAGAAUCCAGGCCCUACGGGGCGCAGCAGGCGCGAAACCUUUACACUGCACGAGAGUGCGAUAAGGGGACUCCAAGUGCGAGGGCAUAUCGCCCUCGCUUUUGUACAUCGUAAGGUGAUGUACGAAUAAGAGCUGGGCAAGACCGGUGCCAGCCGCCGCGGUAAUACCGGCAGCUCGAGUGAUGGCCGAUAUUAUUGGGCUUAAAGCGUCCGUAGCCGGCCAGAUAAGUCCGUUGGGAAAUCUGCUUGCUCAACGAGCAGACGUCCAGCGGAAACUGUCUGGCUUGGGGCCGGAAGGUCUGAGGGGUACGUCUGGGGUAGGAGUGAAAUCCUGUAAUCCUGGACGGACCGCCGAUGGCGAAAGCACCUCAGAAGGACGGACCCGACGGUAAGGGACGAAAGCUAAGGUCACGAACCGGAUUAGAUACCCGGGUAGUCUUAGCUGUAAACAAUGCUCGUUAGGUGUGGCACUGGCUACGAGCCAGUGCUGUGCAGUAGGGAAACCGAUAAACGAGCCGCCUGGGAAGUACGUCCGCAAGGAUGAAACUUAAAGGAAUUGGCGGGGGAGCACUACAACCGGAGGAGCCUGCGGUUUAAUUGGAUUCAACGCCGGG